rnacentral:rRNA from 1 species
ACGGGUGAGUAACGCGUAGGUGACCUGCCCUUUUGCUUGGGAUAACCCAGAGAAAUCUGGGCUAAUACCGAAUGAGCUAAAUAAAUUUGAAAGUAAUUUAGGAAAGAUUGCCUCUACUUGUAAGCAAUCGCGAAAGGAUGGGCCUGCGUGACAUUAGCUUGUUGGUGAGGUAACGGCCCACCAAGGCCUUGAUGUCUAGCCGGUUUGAGAGAAUGAUCGGCCACACUGGGACUGAGACACGGCCCAGACUCCUACGGGAGGCAGCAGUAGGGAAUAUUGCGCAAUGGGCGAAAGCCUGACGCAGCAAUGCCGCAUGAGUGAGGAAGGUUUUCGGAUUGUAAAGCUCUGUCAGGGUGGAAAAACGGCAUGUAUUCUAAUAGGUUACAUGUUUGAUGGUACACCCAAAGGAAGCACCGGCUAACUUCGUGCCAGCAGCCGCGGUAAUACGAAGGGUGCAAGCGUUGUUCGGAUUUAUUGGGCGUAAAGCGCGCGCAGGCGGAUUAAUAAGUCGGGUGUGAAAUCUCGGGGCUCAACCCCGAAACUGCGCCUGAAACUGUUAAUCUAGAAUCUUGGAGAGGGAAGGGGAAUUUCGCGUGUAGGAGUAAAAUCCGUAGAGAUGCGAAGGAACACCAGAGGCGAAGGCGCCUUCCUGGACGAGAAUUGACGCUGAGGCGCGAAAGCGUGGGGAGCAAACAGGAUUAGAUACCCUGGUAGUCCACGCCGUAAACGAUGAGCACUAGAUAUUGUGGGUAUUUGACCCCUGCAGUGUCGCAGCUAACGCAUUAAGUGCUCCGCCUGGGGAGUACGAUCGCAAGAUUAAAACUCAAAGGAAUUGACGGGGGCCCGCACAAGCGGUGGAUUAUGUGGUUUAAUUCGAAGCAACGCGAAAAACCUUACCUAGGCUUGAAAUCCUACGAAUCCUCUUUAAACGGAGGAGUGCCCUUCGGGGAAUGUAGUGACAGGUGCUGCACGGCUGUCGUCAGCUCGUGUUGUGAAAUGUUGGGUUAAGUCUCGCAACGAGCGCAACCCCUAUCCUUAGUUGCCAGCAUUAAGUUGGGCACUCUAGGGAGACUGCCUGGGCUAACCAGGAGGAAGGUGGGGAUGACGUCAAGUCCUCAUGGCCCUUAUGCCUAGGGCUACACACGUAAUACAAUGGCCAGUACAAAGGGAGGCGAACUCGCGAGGGGGAGCAAAUCUCAAAAAAACUGGUCUCAGUCCGGAUUGGAGUCUGCAACUCGACUUCAUGAAGUUGGAAUCGCUAGUAAUCGCGGAUCAGCACCCCGCGGUGAAUACGUUCCCGGGCCUUGUACACACCGCCCGUCACACCAUGGGAGUUGUCUUACCUGAAGUCGUGGCCCUAACCAGCUUGCUGGAGGGGAGCGCCUACGGUCGGACUGAUGACUGGGGUGAAGUCGAAACAAGGUA